GUUGUGAUUCAAAUAGUAAAUUAAAGAAGGAAUCAAUAUUAAGAUCAAAGAGUAAAAAAAGAAGUUAUGCUACAACGUCUAGUUUGUAAAUACCUAUGAUAUUAUUUUAUCUCUAGUAGUAGUGUUGUUACAGUGAAUGGUCUGUUAGGGAUCUCACUCCAUCCGUCUACAUAUUAGGGUUUUGCUACUUCGCCAUUCCAAGAAUAUGAUAUCACAGUGUGUGACAGUUGGAGGAUCAAGAUCAUACUUUGUUGAUCUGCUGCAUGGUAUAUUGAAGUUUGAUCCUGUAGACCGUCUCACCGCUCAAUAAGCUCUUGACCAUCCAUUCUUUAGAAACAGUCCUGCAUAAGCUGACAGUAGUUUUCUGGUAUAUACAUGAUGAUUCCUUCUGCCGGCGAUCACCAAAUAUUAACUUUCUUUUGAUAAAGCUUGUGAUUUGUUUACUCAUAAGCUAAACGAGUUUAACAGCAGAGAUGGACUUGGGGCUUGAAGAUAAUCAACGAUUCAAGAAAUAUUAUUUUUUAUAUUAUUAUUGAGCUGCAAGUGAUUCGGGAUAGUAAUGAUUGCGGUAGGUAAUGUUGGGCUAGAGUUGACUUUGUGUAAAGUCAGCUAAUGUGCUAUAUUUGCCAAGUCAACAAUCCGUACAACAUGAUUGGUUAGAGGCAAAGGUAUGGUCAAAGGCAAUUGAUUAUAGUGCAUCAGUUGAGUUCCAUUGAUUUAGAGACUCAAAUGCCAAAAGUCCCCAGAUUGAAAAGUUGAACUUAGUUAUCAAGGAGCUCGUCAAGGAUAAUGAUGAAGAAAAAGAAAGGUUAAAUGGAAUUAUUGCGAAGUUGUUGGCUGAAAAAGAAAAAGAUAAAGUGGAUAAAGACGCUAUGCUCGACAACAAAUUGAAGCUAUGUUAACUGCCGCAGUUCGAAGAUAGGCUAUAAACACUUGGUUUCGAACGUUUCGAUGUUUAUCAUAUUAGGAUACUUUUAGUUGUUUUAUGUUUUAGCUGAUAUUUUUAUUAGAAUGUUUUAUGUGUUUUUGAAACAGAAAUGUUUUAUAUAACUUUGGGAUUUUGUGAUUUUAUUAGACUUUUUAUAUAUAAUUUUAAGUUUUAUUGAUAUGUAAUUUUGAUGAAAAAAGCAGGGAGAAAUCUGAAUCAAAAC
rnacentral:lncRNA from 1 species